rnacentral:rRNA from 1 species
CACCGCCCGUCACAUCACGAAAGUGGGCUGUACUAGAAGUCCUGAUUCCAACCGCAAGGAGGAUAAGGCCCAAGGUAUGGCUCAUGAUUGGGGUG